rnacentral:rRNA from 1 species
UACGAAGGGGGCUAGCGUUGUUCGGAAUUACUGGGCGUAAAGCGCGCGUAGGCGGACAUUUAAGUCAGGGGUGAAAUGCCGGGGCUCAACCUCGGAACUGCCUUUGAUACUGGAUGUCUGGAGUUCGGGAGAGGUGAGUGGAAUUCCGAGUGUAGAGGUGAAAUUCGUAGAUAUUCGGAGGAACACCAGAAGCGAAGGCGGCUCACUGGCCCGAUACUGACGCUGAGGCGCGAAAGCGUGGGUAGCAAACAGG